GACGAACGCUGGCGGCGUGCCUAAUACAUGCAAGUCGAGCGAAGUUUUUCUGGUGCUUGCACCGGAAAAACUUAGCGGCGAACGGGUGAGUAACACGUAAAGAACCUGCCUCAUAGACUGGGACAACUAUUGGAAACGAUAGCUAAUACCGGAUAACUGCAUUAACUGCAUGGUUGAUGUUUAAUAGUUGGUUUUGCUAACACUAUGAGAUGGCUUUGCGGUGCAUUAGCUAGUUGGUGGGGUAAAGGCAUACCAAGGCGACGAUGCAUAGCCGACCUGAGAGGGUGAUCGGACACACUGGGACUGAGACACGGCCCAGACACCUACGGGAGGCAGCAGUAGGGAAUCUUACGCAAAGGGCGAAAGCCUGACGGAGCAAAGCCGCGUGAGUGAAGAAGGAUUUCGGUUCGUAAAGCUCUGUUGUUAGGGAAGAAUGAUUGUGUAGUAACUAUACACAGUAGAGACGGUACCUAAACAGAAAGCCACGGCUAACUACGUG
rnacentral:rRNA from 1 species